rnacentral:lncRNA from 1 species
GGUUUGGGGUUUAGGGUUUAGAGUUUGAGGUUUAGGGUUUGGGAUUUGGGGUUUAGGAUUUGGGGUUCAGAGUUUGGGGGUCAGGAUUCAGGAUUUAGGGUUAGGGGUUUUGGGUUAGGAGUUUUAGGGUUGGGGGUUUUGGGUUAGGAGUUUUAGAAUUUUGGGUUUAGGAUUUUAGGGUUUGGGGUUUAGGAUUUUGGUUUUAAUGUUUAGGAUUUUAGUGUUUUGGAUUUAGGGUUUAGGGUUUAGGAUUUAGUGUUUUGGAUUUAGGAUUUAGGGUUUUGGGUUUAGGAUUUUAGGUUUAGGGUUAGGGGUUUUGGU